UUUUGGACAAUGGGCGCAAGCCUGAUCCAGCCAUGCCGCGGGCGUGGAGAAGGCCGUCGGGUUGUCACGCUCUUUCGGACGGAAAGAAAUCGCGCAGGCUAGUACCCUGCGCGGAUGACGGUACCGUCAUAAUACGCACAGGCUAACUACGUGCCAGCAGCCGCGGUAAUACGUAGGGUGCGAGCGUUAAUCGGAAUUACUGGGCGUAAAGCGUGCACAGGCGGUUGAUUAAGACAGGCGUGAAAUCCCCGGGCUUAACCUGGGAACUGCGCAUGUGACUGGUCAGCUAGAGUACGGCAGAAGGGGGUGGAAUUCCACGUGUAGCAGUGAAAUGCGUAGAGAUGUGGAGGAACACCGAUGGCGAAGGCAGCCCCCUGGGCCGAUACUGACGCUCAUGCACGAAAGCGUGGGUAGCAAACAGG
rnacentral:rRNA from 1 species